UUUUAACACAGUCUGAACUGUUCCUUUCACAGUGAUAGGGCUAAAAGCAGAGAGGCACAAAAGUGCUUGCAAAUUUAAACAAAACCUAGGGAUAUUUUUUUAGCUAUUUUUUCUUUUCCUGCUGACUUGCAGUGGUGGAAGGAAUGUUGCAAUAUUUGACUUGAGUAAAACUGUAGAAGAUUAGCAACAAUAUCUACUUAAAAGGCACUCGCAGCUGCUAAUGCCUUUGUUCAGUGGUGUGGUUGACUAGUGACAAAUUGACUGAUUUGUAUGAUGGAGACACUGAGAUGGAGAAGUUGCCGAUGAGACGCUGGAAGCUGGCAGGAAUGAUUUACAGCCUCAAAAGCAUGGCAGCGAUUAAAAUUGUUUUGGGGAA